GACUCCAUGGCCCAAUGGGUAAGGUGCUGGUCUACGAAACCAGAGAUUCCGGGUUCGAUCCCCAGUGGAGUUG
rfam:Ipomoea nil DNA, scaffold: scaffold0268, cultivar: Tokyo-kokei standard.